rnacentral:tRNA from 1 species
GGCUUUGUAGUGGAAAUUAUAAGACGUCAGACUGCAAUUCUGAAGAUGCGCAAAGCGCCAGAGCUUAAAGCUU